rnacentral:tRNA from 1 species
GUCAGGAUGGCGCUACGUUCAGGUCGUAGUCUUCUCUGAAGGCGUGGGUUCGAAUCCCACUUCUGACA